CCCCAUGGAGCUCUCACAGCGCUUUGGAUUUUCGGCCGUCCGAUCGAGCUGACGUGGCGCGAUCUCGGCCGUCGUUCCGUCCAGGGCGCUGAGGCCCUCCCACAAACCCGCGUUUUAUCCAUGGGUCGGUAAAAAGCCCGCCCGGCCCGGCCACGGUCUCUCCCCAUCCCCGCGCGUGACUCCGCCGCCUCGCGCUCGCCGUCUCCUCCCCUCCCGUUCCAGUGCGCGUGCGGCGGCCGCCGCCGCCAUCCCCGCCGCCAGCCCCUCUUCCUCCCCCACGUCCCUCUCUGGAGCCCCCCCUUUACCGGAAGAGAGAUGGACUCCUCCUCCCCCCAGUCGCACCUCAUCCUGUCGCCGCCGCUGCCCCCAAGUCGAUCCCAACCGCGCCUCCUCCCGUCGCCGCUGCCUGCUUUCUUCGGCGUUCGUCCGCGCGCCUCCGCAUGAGAUUCCUCUGGCGCUCCCGCCUCGCCGGCCGCCAAUCCCUCCCGAGCACCUCCUCCCCAAUCCCCUCCUGCGCCUCCUCUUCCAAUCCCGUGACGAUCUCCUCCCCCAAUAGCUCAUGCCUGCCUUCCACCCCGAGCUCCGCCUCGCGCGUCUCUCUCUCUCGGUUCAGCAGCAGGUCUGCAGCCCUGUGCGUGGUGGAGCUGCACAAGGUAUCAUCGCUGAGGUGCAGGCCGGUGGAGUUCUUCGCGGGAGACCCCAUGUCCCUGGUUGCCCUGUCAAUCCUGUCGUAGAUGCCGCCGAUUUCUAGCUCUUUCUGCAAGCCACUUGGGAAAUUAUGCGGUAGGAAAAGAAGGAAAAUCUUGUGUUUGGAGAAGAGACGUUCCAUGGGAAUUUGUUGGAAAUUUGAGCAACUCAGGGAGGAAUAGUGUGUUGGUGGCUCCCGGAGUAAGAAGAUGUUCACGGUGCGAACAACAAAUUACAGAGGCUGGUCUUCUUUUCUCUCAUUGGUUCUGAACCUGGACCAAAAAGUACAUCCCCGCUCUUAGUCUAAUGGCGUAACUAUGCCAGGUUUGGCAGCCAACGCUGCUGUCAACUACCAUGGCGCCACUGUUGCUAUCGUCACCGUCAAUAAUAAGUCCACCUCCUGAUUCUGUUUAGAUAUGCCAGCAAGGUGUUCGACAAAAGUCGAGGCGGGAUUUCACUCAAUUGAUAUUUCUGUUGGGAAAAUAUGAAAAGGUUCUGGAGAACUCCGUCUACCAGUUUCUAUGGGUCGUACAAGGCGGACCUUCAAGCAAAUAAUUUGGCGGGCCAAGCUAGCAAAGUUACUUAGGUAGGCAUUAGUCAAAUAUACUAGGUACCUUUUGUGUCAUAUUGGUUCAGAACAUGCAUAUAUCUGUCAACAAAAUUAAACCGUAUAUGGAUUCAAUUUGACCAUCUGGCAUGGAGUUGCAUACUAGAAAAUCAUAUUUUUAUAUCAAAUAUGUUUCUGAAAUCUUCAAUGCCAUCUCCAUACUUGUACUUCUCCAGAAUUUGCUAUUGACAAUUUGAGUUUUGAAAUGAAGCCGUGAAGUAUAGUUUGAUGGAAGUAAAUUACUUGGGGUCUUACAGUGAGUGAAGCGAAGUUGGAUGAGAGGAGUUGGUGUGCCAUAUGCGCCUCUGCCCUGGGGGCUGGGUCGCUGGCUCACUGCCUGCUCUAGGCUGCUGGUGCAGUAUUGCUGAACCUCCAUGUUGCUUCCCUAAACUAAGCCACAGUUGCUGCCUGCUGGGACCUGAUACAACGAAGAGUCAGGGUGCCAAAGGGAAUGGACGUCUGCAGUGCUGCCGGGUGGUAGGCUUACACUUAGAAAUUUUUAGUUUUGCCCUGAAGCUGGCUGGGCCACGGCUCAAUUUGGCCCUCAGUAGCUCCGCCGGUGCUCCCAGACAACGUCUUCAAACGGGAGCUUGACUAUCGCAUCCAUGUUGCAUCUGUACAGGUGUUUAAACCCCCAACUAAUCCCCUUCCCUCAUUCAUCUCUAUCUUUUUCAAUUGUGGCCCCAUUGUCAUCUUUGGUCUCUCUACAGGUUUUCAGUAAUUUAGUCUCUCUACAAGUUUUCAAGAAUUUAUCCGUUUGUGUUUCUGUCAUAUUACUUGCAAUAAAUUGACACUGGGACACGAUUUCGUAAUUCAUUUGGUUGCUUGGGCAAGCCUUAUUUUCAAGGAGUGUAUUUUGUCAGUUUUUACUAUUUGUUUCCUAUGUCUUAUUGCUUUAUGCAUUUGAAUUAUUUCAGAACUUAUGCUUCUCCUGUGCCAACAUCAUGCAAUCAAGUGUUUAGUUAGCUUGGUGAAUAAGUGCUUCUAUUUUGUUUGUUCACUGUCUCUAUGUUUUAGAAUUUGUGGAGGAAGUACUAGGGAACAGUUGAUGCCUGACUCGGAGGAGUCGUUUUCAUUGUCCUAUUGAUUAAGUCAUGAUUAUUACUACUUUGGGUUUUUAUUUUUCAUCCCUGGUGAAAAAUAACAAAUCUUAAAUAUCACAUGUAACUGGGCGUAGCAGUGACACUGUUGUAGCUGCUCCCUGGUACACAAAUUGGUUCUUUGUUGUCCAAGGGUAUUACUGUUCUGAUUUUGUGUAUUGGUUUUUUUUUCCAUCUGGUCUGCAAGGACGCGGGGCUCAGUGGUCAGCAUGGACGUCGCCGUCAUCGGUUCUCCUUGUCUUCAGACCUGAAGUUUGGCUCAGAUUUCGAAACAAUGUAAGACCAAAGCAAUUCAUAUACAGUGGAAACUUAUGAAGAUAAAUCAUGGCAAGUAUAAGCUAUAUAUACAGAACAUCCAUUGGAGAACAAUUUCAUGCUUACGAACAGGUGGAAUGUACAACACCUCAAAGUGAGCUUCUUCUCUUCUUAAUUAAUCCAGAUCCAGGUGCAAAUCGUUGAUGAGUGCCCAGAUUUCAAUGAGUGCUCAGAUUUUUGCUUAUGUGCCAUUUGCCCUCCCAUUCCUACCAAUGUCCAAGGUGGUGGUGAUGUUUCUGCCCUUGGAGGUGUUGCUGAUCUCAAGUUACAAACCUAGAUAAACUGUUGACUCUAUUCAUGUGUCCAUAAUCUCCAUGAAAGUUUCCCCGCUCAUUGGUUUAUUUCUAGAUUAUUAGUUCUUCAUGUGUGUAUGGACAAUGUUGUCAGCAAUAUUGCAAAUAGUUCAGAUGAUAUCCCGAAUUAAGGUUCGCUUGAAAUUGUCAAUGUGCACCUCAUCUCUGUUCUUUUAUGGUUGGGGUAUCUGUUCUUCUGCACAUAGACGAAUAGGAUCUAAUCAAAUGUUUAAUUAGAGGUAUUUAUUGGUGGACUAAUGAAAGAGCUGAUUCAAGUUGUGGCCCUGUUGAAAGGAUGAAAGGAUGCACAGGUUAUUGCCCUGUUGAAAGGAUCAAAGGAUUCAGGUUGUAGCCAUGUUGAAAGGAUGAAAGUAUUCAGGUUGUAGCCCCUAUUCUCUGCUUCGUGAACUGAUGAAAGACUGCCCAAGCAGCACACCAUUCAAGUUGUAGCUCAAUUGGCGAUUUAUAGAUCUAUAGCCAAGUUUGCAUCGUGCAGGUGAAUGAAGAGUUUUAGAACCCAGAGAUCCUAAGAAACUACUGAAAUGACAUGGUUUGGUGGUGUGCUAUGCCGAAUUGUCCAUAGGCAGCCUAUGUAGAUGUUACUUUUUCACUUGUGUUGCUCUUGAUAGAACCAUCGAGCAUUUGUGUGCCUUAUCCAAAUUUUAUUAUAUAUCGAUUUCAUUUUGUAAAACCUAAAGAAUCGUUUCAACACCUUAUUUAUUUCUUUCUUGUACUAAAA